UUCCCCAUUAAAUCCAAUAUAUUAGGGACAAUCAGAGGUGGUGACCAUUAGUGGGUACCAUGAUGUGCCGGAGAACAAUGAAGGGAGCCUCUUGAAGGCACUUGCAAAUCAGCCUCUCAGUGUCGCCAUUGAGGCUUCUGGCAGAGAUUUCCAAUUUUACAGUGGGGGUGUGUUUGACGGGCACUGUGGAACCGAGCUGGACCAUGGAGUGACAGCCGUUGGAUAUGGAUCGGCCAAGGGAUUGGAUUACAUAAUAGUGAAGAAUUCAUGGGGACCAAAAUGGGGAGAGAAAGGAUACAUAAGGAUGAAGAGAAACACAGGAAAAGCUGAGGGGAUAUGUGGUAUCAACAAAAUGGCUUCUUAUCCUACUAAAACUAAAAAGUGAUGUUAUUGAUGUUGUUGGUGGUUGUUGUUUUGGUGUUUUCGUUUUCCCUCUCUGUUGUUUUAUUCGCCUUUUCAAAAUUAGAUUGUAAUCUGAAGGCAUUAUCAUUAUUUUAAUAUACGUAUU